CAGUGGCAGGUUCAAUGGGGAGGUGGUUUUUAAAAACCUCCUGCUUAUCGAUUUCUGCGUGGUGAGGGAAACUUCAGCCGGCCUUUCCGUGGAGAGAAGCUGAAAACCGACCCUGCUUUGUCCGCAUCUAUUUCCUGCCGGCUCUCAGCAGCGUGACCAGCUACCUCUGCUGGUGGCGUGACCUUGGGUGUGUCACCUCACUGCCGGCUCUCAGUUGCUCCCUCAUCCCUGUCAGAUGCUGGUGGCUGGCUGUGCCCCCAGCCAUGUGAAGACCUGAUAGGCCGGCCUCCCUGCGGGGUUCAGGACCUGGCCUGCCGUUGGGCCUGUCACAAGAGAAGCCAUGGCUGGUGAGGAGGGUCACUGGCCCGCCUGAGCGAGGCACGGGGACCAGCCUGAGGCAGCAGCGGAAGGCAGGGCUGGCCUUUUCUCCAGUGGUCAUCCCUGCACCCCACAGAGAACCUUGGUACCAACAUGACCCCGCGUGGCAGCCCCCGGAGGUGUGGUGAGCAACCACCAGGGCCAGAACCCCAGCUGGUGCGGGGAGACAGGCUGCCGCCCCUCCAGAGGCCUAGAUCAAGCAAAGGUGACAUACCAGGGAGGAGUCAGGCCCCUACGGGAGAGGUUGGGAGGGUCUCUGAUCUAGAGAGCACAAGCAGGAGGAGCAGGCAUGGGGCCUUGCCCAGCUCUCGGCAGUCCUUCUCUGUUGCCCAUAUGGGGUAAUGUCGAGACCCAACCAAAGAUUCCAGCAACAUCAGUUUGACCUGGGGUAAGGGGUUCUUCAUUCCAGACCCUCAGGGUCUCUUCCUUUGGAAUGGAAUGGGGAUGUAGUGGGGAGGGUGCCCUGUCAGGGGGUGCUGCUGAGCACAGGGUAAAGAUGUGCAGGUGUCUGGCCUGCAUCUUUCAUCAGCCCCCACAGCAGGAAGGAGACCCACAGCGGGAUCCUGAUGGGGGACACGCCCACACCCGUCCUUCAAGGCUGGCCCUGAUGGCGAGCUCACAGCUCCUCCCAAGUCCUGUCUGAGCCCUGUCAUGAGCAGAGCCGAGGACCAGGAGGUGCCACAACACCAAGGGGACAGGCCCCGCAGAACGCUGUGGGGAGGAAGACAUGACGCGACAGCCUCAAAGCACCCGGCAGAGCUCUCGCCUCCUUCCCUGUGAUUGCCAGUGUCCAGAUGCGCAGUCGGUCAGCCCUGGGACUGCCCGAGUGUUGCCUGCACUCGGCAGCCGUGACCCAGAGCUCAGCUACGCAGCACAGGAAAAACAGGGCUGUCGUGGAGGAAUUUGUGUUCUCAUCACACAUUCAGAAAUUAAUUUUUUUUAAGAACUUAUACUUUUGGGCUCUUAUAAACAAUCCGUCUUCUAAAAGUCCGCCUGGGACAGGCUGGAUAGCCUCAUAGGAUGCUUUCUUCAGAACACGGUGACGCUUUCCCAGCAGGGCUGGAAGGGCGGACGCUGGCAUCCCCGUCGCUCCUAGAAGCCCCCCUGACAGGGUCUGCCCUGGGCUAGAAGCCGGUGCACCUCCCUUUCGGGUCCUUACCACAACCUGGGACAUCUUGAGACUGGACCCCUAGAUUGGUGGCAGGACCUGCUCCGAGCUGCCCAGCGAGACCUGGGCAAGCCGCCCCCACCAGCCCGGGGCUCCCGACCUCCUCUGUGCUCGUCCCUGCGCCCUCACGCCAUGCAAUGCCCUGCCCACAAACGCCCCCUUCUCCCAAGCAAAGUGGAGGGCUUUGCUGAAGCCAUCUCGAUUCUUCCUCCCUGCAGCUACUAAAACACGCAGCGCUGGCAGCUGAGGGGCG
rnacentral:lncRNA from 1 species